rnacentral:rRNA from 1 species
GCUUAGCCCUAAACUUCAAUAAUUAUACAAACAAAAUUAUUUGCCAGAGAACUACUAGCCACCGCUUAAAACUCAAAGGACUUGGCGGUACUUUAUAUCCAUCUAGAGGAGCCUGUUCUAUAAUCGAUAAACCCCGUUACACCUUACCACUUCUUGCUAAUACAGCCUAUAUACCGCCAUCUUCAGCAAACCUUAAAAAAGAAUUAAAGUAAGCAAGAGCAUAACAUAAAAACGUUAGGUCAAGGUGUAGCCCAUGAAGUGGAAGAAAUGGGCUACAUUUUCUUCACAAGAACAUUACGAAACUCUUUAUGAAACUAAAGAAUAAAGGAGGAUUUAGUAGUAAAUUAGGAAUAGAGAGCUUAAUUGAAUAGAGCAAUGAAGUACGC